GUGUGAGUAUGUACAUAGUUAUGAUGAAGCUGCUAAUCAUCAAUUGCCCAUAGCUUCAGUCUUAUGAAUCAUCCAAAUAGUUUCCAUAGAGCAAUGUUCAAGCCUAAUGCAAAAUUUGAUGCAGAUUCGUUGUUCUACUUGCUCAGUAAUUUUGAAUGUAAUGGUCACACAGUACACAUGC